rnacentral:rRNA from 1 species
CCUACGGGUGGCAGCAGUGGGGAAUAUUGCGCAAUGGGCGAAAGCCUGACGCAGCGACGCCGCGUGAGGGAUGAAGGUCUUCGGAGCGUAAACCUCUGUCAGCAGGGAAGAACGGUCACUGUGCUAAUCAGCAGUGAAUUGACGGUACCUGCAAAGAAAGCACCGGCUAACUCCGUGCCAGCAGCCGCGGUAAUACGGAGGGUGCGAGCGUUAAUCGGAAUUACUGGGUUUAAAGCGCUCGUAGGCGGUAUGUCAAGUCAAGGGUGAAAUCCCCGCGCUCAACGUGGGAACUGCCUUUGAUACUGUCGAACUAGAGUGUGUAAGAGGUUGGUGGAAUUCAUGGUGUAGGAGUGAAAUCCGUAGAUAUC